rnacentral:lncRNA from 1 species
AGUUUAGAUUUUAUUUCAAAUAUAACAGGGAAUUUAAAGCAUGAAAAUGAUGUGAUCCAAGUGGUUUAGCCAUUUUGGCUUGUUUAGUGAGAAUGAAUUAUAGCAGUGGGGUUGGUGAGUAGAGGGCAAGGAGCUGCUGUGACUGGUAAAGGCAUGAUGGUAUCUUGGACAGUAGUGGUAGUUAUGGAGGUGGACACAAUUGAAAAGCUGGGUGGUAAAUUUGUGGUGUUCAGCAGAACUCUGUAUUGAGCAGAUGUGGGAAUAAAGGAAAGGAAAAAUUAGGCGGGGGGUGUGUGUGUAUGUGCGUAUGUAACAAUCUAUUUGGUGUCUUUUCUAAGAAGGAAAAGCUGGAGGAAGCAGGUUGUAGCUUUUGAACAUGGUUAACGUUGAGAUUCCUAUUUACAUGCUCUGGUUAGUCUGUUAGGGAUGCAAAUAUGAAGCUCAGGGAGAAUUUAUGGAGGAAAACGGAGAUUUGGAAUUCAUCAUUCAUCUCUUCUUGAUGGCUCCAUUUUAUAGAAUUAAAGCCUGUAGUUGCAUUUAACUGGUAUGUUCUAAGUUUAGGGCAGAUUUAUUGAAAAUUGAAUGUAAACUUGGUUUUAGAUGUAACUGACAUAGGAAAGGUGUAAAACAUGUAUGAUACCUCCAAUAUCUGUGCAUUUCUCCUCAGACCAGCAGAUUAUAUAUAAAAUCUUGCAAAACAUUCAUUUAUUAAAAUCAAUUGAAAAUGGAAAAUAUUGGCAUAGAAAGGACAAAACAGAUUGUGAUAUAAAGGUACAUUGUAAACUUUAAAUUGAAAUGCUUAAGCUCUUUUCUUUAAUAAGCAUAUUUCUGAGUGAGAGGAAGCAAGUGAUUUUAUGCAUUACCAGUGACAAAAGACUUACCUGUUUCCCCUCAAGAGGAAAGAUUUAUGGCAAAGGCAGAUUAACUAAUCAAUAAUAAGACAGGAACGAGGCUAAGGCCAUUCUUAUUUGGUAAUCAGGGUUGGUCUCUGUUUUGGAAAGUUUGAUUUAAUUUACCUUUGCUUGCAGGCAACUCUAUGGUUGGAUCUAGUUAUCUGUUCAAAACCCUGUGUCAUAUUUGGCAUUUACUCCAUUUGGAGAGUAGACAGCAUAAUAAAAAUGUAUUCCAUGUUAUUUUUUUUCAGAGAAGAAACAUUCUGCACACCAUCACUAACUGUCUAUAAUCCAUAACAAUUUAAGUGUAAUUGAACUUAAUUCUCUGAGUAAAUUGUGGUUACUUUUCAGCUAUUUCUUUUAGUCCUGCUGAAAUUCAAAUAUUUGUUUUAGGGAUUAUACAAGGAUACUUUUCUCUCUUCAUCAAGCUCUAAGUGGCUUCAGUUCUUUCUGUGUGGUUGUGGUGCCAUGUUGUAAAUUCUCAGUUUAUUUUUGAAAGGGAAGUGAAAAGCUGGAUGAGAACCCCGAGGGGUUUCUCACAACACAGUCUCAUGGUUCAGUCUUCGGGAUCAUUUAUUGGGUCCACAGCAAGGAACUUACAAUCAGAGGCCUUGAUCUGGAUUAGGUUAUCCUCUAGCUAGCUCUAUGAUAUUAGCAGCAAAGCUCUUGAUGCAGAUGGGUCUCAAUUUUCAUACCUCAUACAAGACUGUUGGACUAGAAUGCAGUUUUUCAAAAAAAUUUUUGUAAUAAACCAGAUAAUAAGUAUUUUAGGCCCUGUGGAUUAGAUGCAAAAUCUAGAUCAUUAUGGAGAUAUUAAAUGCAUAAGUAUAUUAUAUAAAAUAAAUGAGAGAAAACAAAAUUUCAAUAAUUUGUGUUGAUAAAAUUUAAGACUUUAUUCCUAUACACUGACAUUUGAAUUUUAUAUAAUGUUAACAUGUCACAAAAUAUUAUUAUUUUUAUUUUUUAACCAUUUAAAAAUGCAAAAACCAUUCUUAGCUCACAGGUGGCACAAAAAUAGGCAGCAGGACUGAUUUGGCCUGAGGGAGGUCAUUUACCAAUCCCUGGGCUAGAUUAACUCUACAUUCUCCUAAAUUCAAGUAGAAUCUUCAUUAUAGACUCAUUAAAAUAUCUCAACACACUUUGCAUUACAAAUUGUAUGAUUUUUUCAAAAUUAUAUAGGGCAAUUUUCUAAGUUUUUUCUCAGUUCAUAGAUAUUUUUAAUUAUGCUGGGGAAUUUUAUCAGAAUAGAAUCAUAAAUAUAUACAAAUUAGACCAGAUAUAAAAUAAUUAUUAAAGAUGACUGAUAAUAAACUAAUCAUGUUUCUUCAAGAAUUAUUGGAGUGCUUAAGGGUCCUGUGCCUCAAAUCUGGCUGUAUCAAUUCUAAUCCUGGCUCUGGCUAGCUGUGUGAACUUGACAAAGUUAUUAACCUUAUAGCUCCUUGAUUUUCUCACUUGUACAAUGUAAAUGACAAUGAUAGUGCCUACUUCAUAGCAAUGCCAUGAAUAUUAAAUGCAUUAAUACUGCUAAAAUGCCUAUAAGAGAUUUUAAGUACAUUAUGAACUUUGAGAAAGCUUUAGCCAUUAAAAGUGGCUCUCUACUGCAUAAAUAAUUUUAUGUAAUUCUCAAAACAAUUAUAUCUGGUAGUUCACUUUUUAAAUUCACUAUUUUACAAAUAAAGAAUCUGAGAAUUGGAAAGCAAUUUACCCAGGAGUACAAUGCUCAGUGGCAGAGCCAAAAUGCAAAGCCAGAUUAGAGGGACUUUAAAACAAAUGCAUUUUAACUACGCAGCUGGGCAUUUGAUGAAAUUAUCACUAUCUAUCCAUACUAACUUUCUGAGACAGUUUUCUGAUAUUCAUAUUGUGGUUGUUUUCCCAGGGAUUACAGGUAUAUAAUGCUAUUUUGUUACAUUUCCCCAUUCCAUGCCCGUGUUGAAGUGAAUGCAUGAUUUUUUAAAAACUUGACACAAUGAAAUUUACCUUCAUCCUCUGGUUUCUUCUAUUACUGGUCAGUAACUGACACUCUAAAAUAUAAUAUCGCUUCUUUUUGUGCUUCUACUUCCUAAGCUUUAUUUAAACCUCUGCACUGCAGUUGUUCAUAGCUAAUCCAC